rnacentral:rRNA from 1 species
UGGGGAAUUUUGCGCAAUGGGGGAAACCCUGACGCAGCAACGCCGCGUGGAGGAUGAAAUAUCUUGGUAUGUAAACUCCUUUCGAUGGGGAAGAUUAUGACGGUACCCAUAGAAGAAGCCCCGGCUAACUUCGUGCCAGCAGCCGCGGUAAUACGAGGGGGGCAAGCGUUGUUCGGAUUUAUUGGGCGUAAAGGGUGCGUAGGCGGUUUGGCAAGUCUUAUGUGAAAUCUAUGGGCUCAACCCACAGUCUGCAUAAGAAACUGCCGGGCUUGAGUAUGGGAGAGGUGAGUGGAAUUUCCGGUGUAGCGGUGAAAUGCGUAGAUAUCGGAAGGAACACCUGUGGCGAAAGCGGCUCACUGGACCAUUACUGACGCUGAUGCACGAAAGCUAGGGGAGCAAACAGGAUUAGAUACCCUGGUAGUCCUAGCCCUAAACGAUGAUCGCUUGGUGUGACAGGUACCCAAUCCUGUUGUGCCGGAGCUAACGCGUUAAGCGAUCCGCCUGGGGAGUACGGUCGCAAGGCUG